AUAUUAAGAAAUCACUUGUUUUCUAUUUAUUAAAAACUUUAAUAAAAUUCAAAGAAAUGUAUUAAUGAAGUUACCGGACUAGUUUUUGACACUUUGGAAGAAGGGAGAGAAUGAUUGGGCCUUUUGCGAGAAAGGGCAGCUCUAAAGUUGUGUGAAAUGCAAGCCCACUGCUCAUUUUGCUCUGCCAGUAACCAUUUUCUUUUGGCAUCUUCCACUUCCACCGAAUAGUUGUGGGAUUGAAUACCAGAGCUGAGUUUGGCGACGCAUUGAGUUGGUCAAGGUAAAUCCUCGAAAGCACAGAACUGCAAAUAUGAAUCGGAAAGGAGAAUUUAUGGGCCAUUUUGGGAUGGUGGGCUUCGCCCGCGUGCUACGUGGGCUACUAGCCUAACGCUGCCAUCCAACGAUGCUUCAAAUAGACGGCCACUCACUCCUCUUCAACCCUCAACUCAACCGAUCAAGCGAGAGAUAAUGGAAGCUCUGAUAGCCUCAUAUGGAGACGCAUCAUCGGAUUCGGACUCGGAUACUGCUAUUGCCACAAGAGCAACCGCCGAAUCUGUCCCAAUUCCAAGUACUCAAGCGGAUGUGGUAGUUUUGCCACCUCCUCCUGUAUCACUUCUCACCCCUCCCAAUUCUACUGGUCUCAUGGAUUACUUGCAAGCUGGACAGCCAAAUCGAGCGAGGAGCUUUCCCCAUGUUGAAGGCAACUAUGCUUUGCACGUUUAUAUCCCAGGUUCCUUUUCCUCUCUCUAGUUUCUUGUUUCAAGAGAUUUUAAGUUUCUAACUUUGUCAUCAAAUAGAAAAGGGGACUUUUGAAUUCAUGCGGUUAGAUUAUUUUCAACUCUUUCUGUGAGUAAUGGCAUGAGACAUUGCACUUAGAGCAGUGUUUAACCAAUUUUGCUUCCAGUUUAUAUACCGCCUAUGUCAAACAAGGAAGUGGUCCUCUUUUUGAAGAGGGUAUCAUCUCUUGUGCCCAGUCUUCAUGUUGUGGAUGCUGAUGUUCCACUUGACAUCUUGUGCGAAGAUGAUCACAAGCUUGAACAAGUUGCAUUAGGAAGAGAGCUCCACAUUAGCUUGGGAAGAACUGUCCCAGUCCGAGUGCAUCAGGUUGAUUCAGUAAUUGCAAUGGUUCGCCAGAGGCUUCAUUUUCAGAAACGAUCAGUUGCAUGAUCGUAGUCUCUUGCCUAUGCAUUCUAGUUCAAUCCUUAUAAAUUAAAUUUCCAAGACACCAUCUCAAAACAUUUUUUUGUUUCAAGCAGAUAUUGGAUUGAUUUCAGUAAGUGGGAGGUUUUCAUCAAUGAUGAUAAGACUCGCACUUUCCUUUCACUAGAAGUUGUAACCGAAGGAUUCGCUGAGGUAUGCUGGAUGAAUUUACUUUUCAUGUUAGCCUUUUUGUAUUUGGCAUGAUCGCUCCAUAUGUUCUUGCAUGCUCCAAAAUUUCUCUAGCUCAUACUAUUGCUUUAUGAUUAUUUAUUCUGAUUUUGAUUGCUUCAGAUUUCAAAACAAAUUCAAUCUGUUAACGAGGUUUAUAAGCUCCACAAUCUUCCUGAAUUUUGUAAAGUGAGUAUAUUAUUAGUCAUGUUCUUCAGCAAGUCUGAUUGUUUCUUUCAUAUAAAAAAAGCAAUUGUUUGUGCAUUUGUUUAUGUUAUCCCUCAUAAAAUUACUAUCCUGUCAUAAGAUCCACGCCCUCACAUAUCCUUGGCUUGGGCUUUGGGGGACGUCAUGAUUCCUUAAAGCGAGCGGUUGAAGAAGAAACAAAGUGGUCAAGCAUUGGGGGUUCAGUGCUGAAAUGUAUAAUUAAUUGUAAAUUCAGUGGCAUUGAGUGUAAGAUUGGUAAUAAAACAUACAGCAUUUGUAAAUUUCAUGGUGAAUAAUAAAACCUCUAAAAUGUUCAGAUUUCUAUGUGAGUUGCAUCUCCAUACACCACUGAAGGCAUUUGCAUUUGUUGAUGAUUUUCUAAUUGAGCUUUGUUAAAGCGUGUAUCAAGAUUUAAACGUCAGUUUUUUUGGUCUCUAAUUCUUUAUGAUGAAUGAUCAAUGAGGGAAACAUUUGAUAAUCUGCCCCCAUUUUGUUGUUUGAUGUGGAUUUUCUGCUUAUAUUAUGGCCUUUUGUUUUCUUCCUUUUCUCUUAUAUAUCAUACGCAGCCAUUUUCCUUGAAAUGCUAAGGCUAAUGAAUACCAGGCUUUAACAAUCGUUUGACAUGUCCCAAUAAGAAACAGAAAACAGCUCCUGAAGACUGGGAAACAGUUGAGAGUAAGCGCACCUCCCUUUUCCUCUUAAAGUACAAAAUCUGAUUAUGCAAAGAUGUCCUUUACUUGCACCAGAAAACUGAUAAGCAUCACAUGGAUAAUCCAUUUACCUUCUGCUAUAUUUGAGUUUCAUACACAGCAAGUUACAUGGUGGACCUUUUUUUUUUGCACUCAAAAUGACUAGAGCAAAAGACUCCUCUCUGAGAAUAAUAGUUAUCAUUGUGACCCAAUAAAAUUCCAGAUUCCUAGAGCUCUCAUAGUUCUUGUCUUAGUUAUUUUAAAGAUACAUGCAAGAAAAUCUGUCCACCCUCUUGUUUAUUAUUCACAUUCAAAGAAUUCUAGGACUCACUUUUGCUGCAAACUCUUCCAGCUUUUUUGAGUGUUGUCUCGCCCACUUGACUGCAAUUGGUGUAAAUGAAAACAAGAUUGUUGUGGUUAAGAUAACAUAAAGCCUGGGCUUAUCUGGUGUGAUGUUUAUUAAUGCAGUGUUAUAGGUGGAAUACAUUGCAACCAAACAUAUUUGCAGUUCAAACUGUAAGGGGAAUCUGCUUGUCAGGAUGGUGAUCAUGAAGAGGGACACUGAAAACCCCACAGUAUUGAAAAACACGAAGAGGUCAAAUGCAAUUAAAUUUGUUGUGCCCAAAACGGACUCACCUGCAUUGUGUGGUUUGAUGUUGCUGGUGUUAUUGUUCUGGCCUGUUGUGUAUGUAUCUUGCCAGACACCUCCUGGAGGGUUAACACCAACUUGGAAUGUGGCAGUUGCAACCAGAACAGCUAUAACUAGUAGUGUGCUGCGAGCUGUGCUUGGAGAGUCUCUACCCCUCUUAAACUUGAAGUACUCUACCAUGCCACCUAGCUGUGAUCGAUCUGUUUCUGGGGCUGUGGGGCUGUUGGUAAAGGUUUGAUUAUAAGGAAUGUUUGAAAGGGUAAUAUCUCUUCCUCUCAUAGCUUCAGCAUCUAGAAGCAUCUCAACAAUUUCUCGAUCACCUGCUUCACUUGGGGACAUUAGUAGCACAUCUAGCCCAGUGAGGCCGUAAUGGUUCAUGGCAUUUACUUCCAGUGAGCCUGGACUUGUUCUGUUGUCAAAUUGCGAGGUGCAGGACUGUACUGCCUUGUUCAUCUAUCAUAUUGAACACAUCAUCCCUGUUAUUUUCUCUGAUCCACUCUACCAAUGUCUUUGUUGCUUGAAAUUGGUUGUUCUUAAUGGCAAGUCGCAGAGCAGUCUUUCUUUCAACUGUCACAGCAUCUACACAUUCAGGACAACUGCUAAGCAAGACACUGAUUACAUCCUCUCCCUUUGAUGGCUGCAUAAUGGAGUGAAGUCCUUUAAUCUCUUCCCUCUAACAGGCAAAAUUUGGGGUCAACAAUCAUCAGCUCCUUCACAAUCUCUACAUGGCCGUUACCUGGUGCCAUGUGCAUGGGCCUAAAACCAUCUUGAUUUAGUUCUUUGGCAAAAUAUGGCUUUAACCUUAUAAUCUCCUUCACAAAUCCAGCAUAUCUCCAUGAACACUACUUGUUUAGCCUUAUAAACUUAUAAUUGUACUGGUGGCGUUUCCUCCUGAGGGGGAGAAUUAUUAUAUUAGUGGUCAUUAUGAUUGCGUCAUUUCGUUCAGAGGGAAAAAGUUCAUAUUUAUUAGUUGUCAUUAUGACUGACAAGAUUGCAGAAAUAUUAGCAUAACAGAAGCCAUCUGUCUUUUCUCUUUACCUGCAAACCAUGGCUCCCACAUGGAGUCAGGAGCUUGGGCAUCGCACUGAAUGUGAUCUUAGGAUCCACAUCAGUUCUGGGUGCCAUAAGGGAUUACCCGCCACUUCUAUUAAGUCCCUCCCUCUUAACUCUAUUUCAUUCUCUUUCACUACAUCGGAUUUUCUCUAAGGUAUCAGAGGAUCCCUAAAGGACCACCUCAGGUGGCCCUUAUCCCAAUUUUCCUAUUCUGCAAGUACCCUUAGCUAACGCUAGAUCAUAAGAUCCUCCAAUCCGUGGGCAUGAAACCUCUGGCUUCAUCGUUGAUGAAUUUUAUGAUUGAGUUUUCUUGCUAGAUCUAGUCGGUUUGAGAUCAUUUUCAGAUUCAGACCUGCUUUUUUCUAUAUCAUGUCAUGUAGCUACAUAAUGUUGAAUUUCUGCCUCACAAAGUGAAGAUUAUGGCAAAAACUGAGAGAAAGGAGAUGGUGGAUGGGGGGAAUUUAGGAAGUAGGAACCUCUGUUUAUACGGGCAGAACAAUUUUUUAUUACCAAAGGUAAUCCUUCACAUGCUACAAGGGUAAUACAUUUUCCUUUGGCUUCAAUUUUAUAAGCUGCAACUAAGACUCUCUCAAACACUAUUUCUGAUAUCUGGUC
rnacentral:misc_RNA from 1 species